rnacentral:rRNA from 1 species
CAGCCGCCGCGGUAAUACGAAGGGGGCUAGCGCUGCUCGGAAUGACUGGGCGUAAAGGGCGCGUAGGCGGUCACGAUAGUCAGAUGUGAAAUUCCUGGGCUUAACCUGGGGACUGCAUUUGAUACUGUGUGGCUUGAGUGUGGAAGAGGGUCGUGGAAUUCCCAGUGUAGAGGUGAAAUUCGUAGAUAUUGGGAAGAACACCGGUGGCGAAGGCGGCGACCUGGUCCAUAACUGACGCUGAGGCGCGAAAGCGUGGGGGGCAAACAGGAUUAGAUACCCGCGUAGUCCCUGUCUCUUAUAC